UACUGCCUUUGUUUUGGCUUGGGAGGGGACGAAGAGUCAAAAUCCCUAAACAGUUGUCCCCAUCUCCCUAGUUGCAUCCCGCCGCCUCCUCUGCGUCCGGCGCCGCCGCACCCCAUCUUGUGCUUGACCCCAAUCCCGUCGCUGCCGCCCCACGCCUCUAGCGCCGUGUCCAUCCCCAUGGAGGGCCGCUCCCUUGCCGUCCAGCCACUCCUACGACGCCUCCCUCUCGUCGAGGGGCGCCUCCCUCACCGUCCAGCGCCGCCCCCUCGCCGUCCAGCGGCUCCAGUGCCGCCUCCAUCCCGAUCGACGGGCGUCUCCCUCGCCGUCCAGCCACCCCAGCGCCGCCUCUCUCCCCGUUGACUGGGUCCUCCCUCGCCGUCCAGGUCUGCUUCCCUCGCCGUCUAGAUGUGAUUCCCACACCGGCCAGCCGCCUCACCCUUCUGUCUCCCUCCCAGUCCAGCUCCUCCCACUACCGAGUCAAGUCUUGGCGAACUACAACCGACCUGAGGAGAGGAAGACCCAAAAAAAGAAAUCUGAGAGAAACAUAAAUUGGAAACUAGAGGAGUUCUGGGCAACUUUAUUAGUCUGAAUCCCUAGCUGAGGGUUCAGCAGUAGCCGUAAUGGUUGCUACAUUACCUUCUCUGGGCAACUUUAUUACAUUUGUGAUUUCUGAAGUAGACUACAUAACCGAGUUGCUCUGUUCCUCCCGUACCAGGGUCCGAGGCUAGCAUGUCAACUACCACGGCAAGGAAGGAGGCAACUUUCCCGCUACAUUCAUCCUCUGCAGUUUGAAACUCUGAAUGUAAUACACAUGCAACAAGCCUUAUUACCAAGAAACACGUGGAAUGUGAGGCGGCGGCGAAGCAUUAGCUAGCGCGGGUGCGUCACCUCUGUGGUAUUGUGGGCAAUCAUGGUUUUGGCAAGCUCACUGGAAUCAAGUGAGGUGAGAAUAUCGAUCUUCCAGACACCUAUUUCUUCUUGCAAAUUUAGAAAAGGGAGGUUGAGACAUCAUUUCCAUUUCCCUAUUUCUCUAAUCUAUAGGGCAGUGAGAUAACGAUGAAUGUGGCAGCGAGAAAUGAUGGUUCUCCUGAUCUUCCUUUCUGUGGUAUCUUCUAAGGCAUCCCUGAUAUGUCUCUUUUUGGUUCUUAAAAUUUUCUUGCUAUGAAUAGUUCAUCUCCUAAAUAUAUCUUAAUUGUGUUUGUCUCUAGGAGCGCGACAUCGUAACCCAGACAAGUUCUUUCCAGAUUUAGAUAUAGCUCAACAUUAAAAUCGCAACUUCGUGAGAUUCUAAACCUGAAGGGAGAGCACUACAUAGCGUUCCUUUUUGAUAGUUCUCUUUGUCAUAUCUCAUUUGAUAGCUACAUCUAUGCCGGUGCUAAAUGCUUUUUACUUGGUUGCACUGCUGAAAUUGAGCUGAAUUACACUUCUACAACUUUGUAGCUAUAUGUGAGCCUCCCACUAAUUUUUUGACAGUUGCUUCGUUAGGUACACUCAUCAUUCAUGGUUUUUUAUUACCGUUUCUUAGCAUACAUGAUAUGCUUACCAACAGGUUUGUGGUACUACUGUCUUCGAACAUUUCAAAGCUUAAGACAUGGCAAACUGAUGAGUUGGAAAACUUUAUGAUGCUAUCACCAUAAUAGGUCCAUGUACUAAAACCCAGUGUAUAUAUAAUAGGUAUUUCCUGUUGACAAGUUAUUUUCUUUGUGAUUAUUAGGUUCCAAACCUGCUGUUUGAUGUUGCUGGUAUUAUGUUUGGUCAAUGGUAUACCUUCUGGGAGUUCUUCUGUGAAACUC